GAUGAAGAACGUAGCAAAAUGCGAUACUUGGUGUGAAUUGCAGAAUCCCGUGAACCAUCGAGUUUUUGAACGCAAGUUGCGCCCGAAGCCUUUUGGCCGAGGGCACGUCUGCCUGGGCGUCACGCAUCGCGUCGCCCCCCACAAUUCUCCGUAAAAGGAACAUGUGUUUUGGGGGCGGAUAUUGGUCUCCCGUGCUCAUGGCGUGGUUGGCCGAAAUAGGAGUCCCUUCGAUGGACGCACGAACUAGUGGUGGUCGUAAAAACCCUCGUCUUUUGUUUCGUGCUGUUAGUCGCAAGGGAAACUCUAAGAAAACCCCAACGUGUCGUCUUUUGACGGCGCUUCGACCGCGACCCCAGGUCAGGCGGGACUACCCGCUGAGUUUAAGCAUAUCAAUAAGCGGAGGA
rnacentral:misc_RNA from 1 species